rnacentral:rRNA from 1 species
AGUGAACGCUGGCGGUAGGCCUAACACAUGCAAGUCGAACGGCAGCACAGUAAGAGCUUGCUCUUACGGGUGGCGAGUGGCGGACGGGUGAGGAAUACAUCGGAAUCUACUUUUUCGUGGGGGAUAACGUAGGGAAACUUACGCUAAUACCGCAUACGACCUACGGGUGAAAGCAGGGGAUCUUCGGACCUUGCGCGAUUGAAUGAGCCGAUGUCGGAUUAGCUAGUUGGCGGGGUAAAGGCCCACCAAGGCGACGAUCCGUAGCUGGUCUGAGAGGAUGAUCAGACACACUGGAACUGAGACACGGUCCAGACUCCUACGGGAGGCAGCAGUGGGGAAUAUUGGACAAUGGGCGCAAGCCUGACCCAGCCAUACCGCGUGGGUGAAGAAGGCCUUCGGGUUGUAAAGCCCUUUUGUUGGGAAAGAAAAGCAGCAGGUUAAUACCCCGCUGUUCUGACGGUACCCAAAGAAUAAGCACCGGCUAACUUCGUG